rnacentral:lncRNA from 1 species
GUAAUUGUAAGUUUCCAAUUUUACAUUUUCCAUAUCCAUAAAAUAGUUUUUUGUAAAUCAUUUCACUUGAAGCCAAUAAAUACAGAAAAAUAAAGCCACGGAAGCAACAACCUUGCUAAAUACAUUCCCGACUUUUAAAAGACCACAUUCCAAUGGAAUUUCCAUAAAAACUGCAAUGCCCAUGUUGAAUCCAAAGAUUCAUCCGGGCUCCUAUUUUCGAAAGCAUUGUUACACAAGUAUUAGGUGAAAUUACAAAAUAUACAAAGGUUCUGUAGUUAUUAGAACUCCAGAAAAUGAAUUUAACAAGGUUGAGGAUGUGCAAGAGGGAAAAAGGGUUUAGUUCUAGUACCAAUAGUGUGGAUUGGAAGGAAAAGUUUAUUGGGGAGAUAGAUCAAUAUGCAGAUUGAAAAGUGGACAGUAGAAGAGAAAGGCCUUGAUUAGAGGAAAGAUGAACCUCUAUGAAAUGGGGAUAUUGGAACUGCCCAUUUCUGGAAGGAUAAUAAAGAACUGAAACUUUCAUGUGCUUGCUAUUUGGAGGCUCCUUCCACACCUUAGUUCUUUCCGG